UACAGAGGGUGCAAGCGUUAAUCGGAAUUACUGGGCGUAAAGCGUGCGUAGACGGUUAUUUAAGUCAGGUGUGAAAGCCCCGGGCUCAACCUGGGAAUUGCAUUUGAGACUGAAUAGCUAGGGUGCGGAAGAGGGAAGCGGAAUUUCCGGUGUAGCGGUGAAAUGCGUAGAUAUCGGAAGGAACACCAGUGGCGAAAGCGGCUCCUGGUCCAGCACCGACGUCAGGCACGAAAGCGUGGGGAGCAAACAGG
rnacentral:rRNA from 1 species